GAUUGAUUGAUUGAUUGAUUGAUUGAUUGAUUGAUUGAUUGAUUGAUUCACUCACUCACUCACUCACUCACUCACUCACUCACUCACUCACUCACUCAUUGAUAAUAGUUUUGCUCCACCAUUCUCCUUAAAAAAGACCCAAGGUGGCUUGGAUCAUUAAAAGUCAAUAUGAAAGCUAACAAAUAUACAAAUGCUAAAAAGGAUCAGAUAAAUACCAUUCUAAAAAAACAUAAGCAAUACCAAAAACACAUUAAAAGCGCAACCAUCCAUUGAAAAACCCCCAUGGGAAGGCUGGCCUGAAGAGAAAGGUCUUGGCCUUCUUGUGGAAGGACAGCCAAGAUGGGGCCGGGCUGGCCUCCAGUGGGAGGGAGUUCCACAGUCUUGAGAGACAGCCACCAAGAAGGCCCCUCUCCUGGGUCCCUACCAGAGGCACAAUGUCCUCUCAAGAUAUAAAAGAGGUGGUAAAUGAGGGGAAUGGGUUGUAGUGGAUAUUUUUUUUUUAAAAAAAACCCAGCCCUGUUACAUCAUCAUGAUUCUUAGCCUGAGUUAUUCCAAGUAAAAUUGGCAUGUGCCGGCUCAAAAUACUUUUAAGGAGCAAAUGUGCUCACCCUACGCAUGCUCUACCCCCCCCCCCAAAAAACAAUGUUUUUGUCCUCCUUCUUUCCAUCUCUCUCUGCCCCAGGGGUCUGAAAAUCGCGGGGGCCAAAAAUGACCAAACCAGCUCCUCUCAUCCCACCAAGCUUCCAUCCACCUUCUCCACCCGUUCUUUCCAAACCGGGCAGCUGCUGAUUUCGGUCAAGCGGCCAGAAGAUUCAACAAAAGCAUGCAGCCCUUCUGUGUCUCAUAAAAUGAUGAAUCUGCCCUGAAAAGCCAACAAUAGCCUGAACUAUUGAGGAAAGGAGGAAAAGAGGAAACCUGAAGAUGAGAUGGACUGACUCAAUCAAGGAAGCCACAGCUUUGCAUUUGCAAGACCUGAGCAGAGCUCUUAAUAAAGAACUGGGCCUUUUCA
rnacentral:lncRNA from 1 species